UGAAAACAAAUGCUAAUUGAGCCAGAUGGUGGUGCAUAUCCCUUUAAUCCCAGCACUCAGGAGGCAGAGCCAGGCAGAUCUCUGUGCGUUUGAGGCCAGCCUGGGCUACAGAAUGAGUUCCAGGAAAGCCACAAAGCUACACAGAGAAACCCUGUCU